UUUGAUUGGCUGUUGUUUAAUGUUAAGUCUUUGUAGGAUUUAGUCAGUCUAGUAGCCUAUCAUUCUUCAAUAGAGUUGAUUUUACAAUAAUGGGAGAGUUUGUUUGUGUGAAUUUGAUUGGCUGUUGUUUAAUGUUAAGUCUUUGUAGGAUUUAGUCAGUCUAGUAGCCUAUCAUUCUUCAAUAGAGUUGAUUUUACAAUAAUGGGAGAGUUUGUUUGUGUGAAUUUGAUUGGCUGUUGUUUAAUGUUAAGUCUUUGUAGGAUUUAGUCAGUCUAGUAGCCUAUCAUUCUUCAAUAGAGUUGAUUUUACAAUAAUGGGAGAGUUUGUUUGUGUGAAUUUGAUUGGCUGUUGUUUAAUGUUAAGUCUUUGUAGGAUUUAGUCAGUCUAGUAGCCUAUCAUUCUUCAAUAGAGUUGAUUUUACAAUAAUGGGAGAGUUUGUUUGUGUGAAUUUGAUUGGCUGUUGUUUAAUGUUAAGUCUUUGUAGGAUUUAGUCAGUCUAGUAGCCUAUCAUUCUUCAAUAGAGUUGAUUUUACAAUAAUGGGAGAGUUUGUUUGUGUGAAUUUGAUUGGCUGUUGUUUAAUGUUAAGUCUUUGUAGGAUUUAGUCAGUCUAGUAGCCUAUCAUUCUUCAAUAGAGUUGAUUUUACAAUAAUGGGAGAGUUUGUUUGUGUGAAUUUGAUUGGCUGUUGUUUAAUGUUAAGUCUUUGUAGGAUUUAGUCAGUCUAGUAGCCUAUCAUUCUUCAAUAGAGUUGAUUUUACAAUAAUGGGAGAGUUUGUUUGUGUGAAUUUGAUUGGCUGUUGUUUAAUGUUAAGUCUUUGUAGGAUUUAGUCAGUCUAGUAGCCUAUCAUUCUUCAAUAGAGUUGAUUUUACAAUAAUGGGAGAGUUUGUUUGUGUGAAUUUGAUUGGCUGUUGUUUAAUGUUAAGUCUUUGUAGGAUUUAGUCAGUCUAGUAGCCUAUCAUUCUUCAAUAGAGUUGAUUUUACAAUAAUGGGAGAGUUUGUUUGUGUGAAUUUGAUUGGCUGUUGUUUAAUGUUAAGUCUUUGUAGGAUUUAGUCAGUCUAGUAGCCUAUCAUUCUUCAAUAGAGUUGAUUUUACAAUAAUUAGAGAGUUUGUUUGUGUGAAUUUGAUUGGCUGUUGUGAGGGUAAAAACGAUCCUCUCUUCUUCUUUGUUAGUGUCACAGCCUUUGUUUAUACCUCCUUUAUAGCCCCAAAACCCUGACAAGUCAAGCUUAAGUCAAUACUAACCCCGUCCUCUACCUAUUGGCAUUCAAUUUGAUUAUCAAAACCUUAAAUUACUCAUUGUUUUACUCUUAAAUAGGCUGUGUAUUGAAAGUUUGGCAAGCUUUAUCACUUAUGUACGAACUAAUUUUAGCUCUUUUUCCUUUUAAAACCCGAAGACUGUUUGGAUCUUAGAUUUGAGGAGUGAUUUGUAGAAAGAAAAGAAGAAAAGUGAAGGGAAAAAUGAAUGAAAAGUGGAUUAAGUUAGCGGUAUUUUUGUAAUAUUUUAAAUUGCUAGACAUAUGUGGUAGUAGUCACCCAUGAAUCAUUUUACGAAGGGUUACAUUGUUGGGUUAUUAUAAAAGGCUUUAUUUAGGUUUUGGAGUAGACUGGUUAUGAUAAUAAAAAAUUCAAGAUCUUAUAGUGUUAAGUCACAAUCUAGGUAAACUUAAGAAGUCUAGUAAUAACUAAAUUAAUUUUUAGUUCUUUCCAAUCUUCAAACCCUAAAAGUCUUCUGGCUUUAAGAACCCUAAUCCUAUAAUAUAUUCAUGCCUUAAACCCAUUACAGCCUUAAUUCUUAAGCUGCCUCGCAAUAUUUUUAUAAAGUUGUUCUACAUCAAAGAGGAAUGCAAAAGAAUCAAGGUCAUCCACAUUCCUUGGAAGUUGUGAGUCACCAAAGUCGCUCCUCCUCUGUCAUCGCAGUUGUCUAUAUCGCUUCUUCGACCAAGCAUCAGAGGCGCUUCGAGAAGUACUUGGGCCUCCAUUGUUAGCACCACCAUCACCAUUUUUCUGCUACUUCGCCUAUCUUCAAACAACCCUGAGAUCAAAUCCCAUAUAUAUAUAUCAUCUUAGUGUAUGAAGAAACAGCUGGGUUGACGGUCAAUGAUCCCGUUUUACGAACACACAAG